rnacentral:rRNA from 1 species
AUUGAGUUUGAUCAUGGCUCAGAUUGAACGCUGGCGGCAUGCUUUACACAUGCAAGUCGAACGGUAACAGGCCUUCGGGUGCUGACGAGUGGCGAACGGGUGAGUAAUGCAUCGGAACGUGCCCGGUCGUGGGGGAUAACGCAGCGAAAGCUGUGCUAAUACCGCAUACGAUCUGAGGAUGAAAGCGGGGGACCGAGCAGCAAUGUUUGGCCUCGCGCGAUCGGAGCGGCCGAUGUCGGAUUAGCUGGUUGGUGGGGUAAAGGCCUACCAAGGCGACGAUCCGUAGCUGGUCUGAGAGGACGACCAGCCACACUGGGACUGAGACACGGCCCAGACUCCUACGGGAGGCAGCAGUNGGGAAUUUUGGACAAUGGGCGCAAGCCUGAUCCGGCAAUGCCGCGUG